rnacentral:tRNA from 1 species
GACCUUGUGGCGCAAUGGAAGCGCGUCGGUUUCCGAAGCCGGAGGUUGCGGGUUCAAGUUCCGUCAGGGUUA